CACAUGCGUAGAAGACAGAAAUUUCGAAUUUAUUUGCGCCAAUUUGGUUACCACAUCAGUUGCUCUCGGCAGAGUAAAAUGAUGUCUUACCAAAAAAUCCAUGUCUGUACAGUACAUCUCGGAUAAAAAGAAUAAAUAUGCCUAUGGUGUCCAAGCUUGACCGAUUGAAAUAAUAAGAAAUGCUGUAGUAACAAGUUUCGAAUGUACACAUUAGACCUUAAUAUG